GACGAACGCUGGCGGCGCGCCUAACACAUGCAAGUCGAACGGAGCUGAGAGAAGCUUGCUUUUCUUAGCUUAGUGGCGGACGGGUGAGUAACGCGUGAGUAACCUGCCCUGGAGUGGGGGACAACAGUGGGAAACGACUGCUAAUACCGCAUAAGCCCACGAUCCGGCAUCGGAUUGAGGGAAAAGGAUUUAUUCGCUUCAGGAUGGACUCGCGUCCAAUUAGCUAGUUGGUGAGGUAACGGCCCACCAAGGCGAGGAUUGGUAGCCGGACUGAGAGGUUGAACGGCCACAUUGGGGCUGAGACACAGCCCAGACUACUACGGGAGGCAGCAGUGGGGGAUAUUGCACAAUGGGGGAAGCCCUGAUGCAGCGACGGCGCGUGGGGGAAGAAGUUUUUCGGAUUGUAAACUCGUGUAGUACGGGACGAUAAUGACGGUACCUAACAAGAAAGCACCGGCUAACUACGUG
rnacentral:rRNA from 1 species